ensembl:lncRNA
UUAAUAAGAUUGAAUUAAUAUUUGGAGAUUUAGAACAGUGAUGCUUUUUUAAAAAAUACUUACAAAAUUGAAAGGUUUUGUACAUCAUUCCUUAGAUAUCCUUUAUAGACCUUCUUUCUGGAAUGAAAGGAUCAAGAAACUUUAAAAUGGAUAAAGUAACAUCACUGUGUCAGUAGAUAAUGUGGGUAUGGAGAGAAAAGAAAAUAUAUCAUUAAGUAUUCAUUCUGCAUGUUACUUCUAAGUGGAUGUAUUCAGAACAUUUGUUUCUAGCCCUUUAGUUCUGUGAUAACAGUGUGUGUUAUAGUUUUUAACUCUUAUUUUGUCUUUAUGGAUAAUAUAUAGCCUAAAUUUGCCAGUUAUAUAAUUAAUUAAGGAAUCAUCCAUCCUAUGAGCACUUGUUGAAUUUAUAACACUCAUUAUUUGGAAGAUAUGCUGCUGCAUUAGAACAUUAACUUUAAAUUAACCCCCUGUGACCUCAACUAUGCUUUGCUUAAAAUGACUAACUUUUAUGUGUGUCACUGUUGAGCAUGUUUCUAUAUUGUCAUAUGGACAAAUAAGUAUGAAUUCUCUGGAAUCUGAUCUAUUAUGUAAACUGCAUGUUGGGACAAUAGAGUAUUCUUGUUUUAUUUCAAGUACUAAUAACUGAUGUCUAAUUUCGAAUAGGCAAAUGCCAUUAUAACAAUUACACCAUGUUAAAGCAUUCAUUCUCUAAAUCCUAUAGUGAGAACUAACAAACCUAUUCAUUUUGCAUGAAAUUGUGAUUGAAUGUUUGUCUAUGGUUGAUAAUAAUAAACAUUUUGUUCUUUUUCUCAGGUCACCUGAGGAGAAAUUCCAAUGGGAAGGUAACAGCAUUGAUACUUUUAAAAUUAUUAUCAGAUGUGUACUGAAAACUUUCUAUGUAACUAUCUUCUUACUUAAUUAUCUUCUUUCAUAGCCUAUCCAACCUGUUCUUCAAAUGAAAGAUUCUUUCAUAAGCCAAAAAGUAGGAAAAGGAGUUAAGGAAAAACUAGAAUUUGAUGCUUUGAAAUGGGAUUCUACAAGUACUUCUCUGAUAAAGGAGAGUCACAAAAGUUCCAACGACAUGAAGUUGCAAAGUGAUUUUCUUGGCAAAUCACUGACAGUGAAUCAACGUCAAUUAGCAUCCACAAAAUUUGAGAGGAUUCCAUCCAAAGAAGGUGAAGCUGUAGCUGGAAUUGGGCCUGUCACUGAUUAUAAAGUUGGAAUUCAAUUAGAAAAACCAGUCCCCAAGAAGGAGUGUUCCAAGGAAAUAAAGUUGCAAAGUAAUUAUCCUGGCAACUCAUUGCCACCGAAUCAAAAUCAAGUACCAUCCACAAUAUUUGAAAAGAUUCCAUCCAUAAUAGGUGAAGCUGUAGUUGGAAUUGGGCCUGCCAUUGACUAUAAAGUUGGAGUUCAGUUAGAAAAACCAGUCCCCCAAAAGCAAUGUGAACCACCUCUACAGAAAGAGAAACAGAAAGAAGUAAAGAAAGGUGGAAGAGAAAGAGCAAAAGCAUCAACAGAAUAAAAUAAACAUAUUGGAGAGAAAAGAUGAUGAUGAAUUAACUGAAAACAGGAGAACGGGCAACGCUAAUGAGCAAUUUUCAGUGGAGAGCCACCAGCAUGGUAAAGAUGAGGAAAAUAAAAUUCCUGGGGAAGAAAUUCCAAUAAUGAGCAUUUCUUCCAAAGAAAAUUUAGCACCUGUACACCAUGUUUUAAAGGGGUAAGUUUGUCAAAAUAUUUAACUGGAGUAUUAUUAUCAAAUAUUAACAUUCAUGGUAAUGUUCAGUUUACUCUAACAAUCUAGAUCCAUAUUCAUUCUGCAUCCACUUGCUUUUUUUGCUGAGAGAGAACUCUCAUGAAGUCCCAUGAAUGUAUAUUGUUCUAUUGAUGUAAGUAUAUUCUUUUAUUUUGGAAGAAACAUCAGUGUUUAUUGAAAGAAGGUAGGUAGUCUUUGAUGAGAUCCAAAAGAUCAGCAUAUGGUAUAAGAUAUGAAUGGCAAGGAGAAAAGCAAGAUAGUUUGCAAAAGUUUGCAAAUUUAUAAAUAAUAAGUGCUAAUGAGAUAUGAAAAUAGGCUUUUAGCUACUCCAAAAGGUAGAUGAGUUCUCUUAGUCAUUACAAAGUUUCCCAUCAGUAGAAAUAUUCAAGAAUGAAUCAAUUUAAGUGCUUAUCAUGGCCAAGCACUGAGGAAAGUCAGACAACCUAGAUUCUUAAGAAACUCACACUUAUAAUUGUAGACAUGCAAAUCAUUAAAAGGAUAAUUACCAACUUCAUGCUAUGUAAGAUGGGCCCGAGGAGAGAAAGGUUAAUGUCCUUUCAGGAUGGCAGAAAAAAAAAGGGAAUGGACAGAAAUGUAGAGAGAAGUGCUCAUAUAGCUUUUGUUUUAUAAGGCCUUCUGGUGCUCAUAAGGUUUCUGGGUAGAAUGAGAGCAAAAAGCAGGUAGCAAAUGUUACCUGCUUUCCACUUAAAAAAUCUUAGGAUGAUAGAUAUGCUAGGCAGGAAUAUGGUAAAAAGGGUUCACAAUUUAUGUUGCAGUUGUACUUACUAAAAGACCUCUAAAAUUCCAAUUCAUGAGAGUUGUAAUGUGGAAGUGUUCUGGAUUAACAUUGAGAAAGUCUAGAAUGUUUCAAAAAAAAAAAAAAAAGCAAACCUGGAUUUACUUUUAACUUAAAAUAAUUUAACAGCCUUAAAAAACUUAUCCUAAAAUAAUUAAUUUCAACCAUACAUAGCCUAUUGGAGAGACACUGAAAAGGGCAUCUUUUCCUGCUCAAUGACAGUACUCAUACAUUGUGACCUCAGUUGCAUGCAGACAGAAAAUUAUUUACUGUUCCUUUGAUUAGUGGGGAGUAACCAUUUUAGACUUAUUUGUGAUAGACAUUAAAGUCAUGGACAAUUGAAAGCUUCUUGUCAUCUUUUACUUUUUUAUCAGCCUCAUUUCCCAAUAUAUCUCUGCUCACCCUUCUAGUGAAACAUUCCUAAUCACAUAUCAAUAUUACAUGCAGUGUCCCAUAUUGAUAGUCUCCCACUCUGAAUAAAUAGGAAGUGGUACCUUCUCAUCUGGACCAAGCUUAGACAUUAUAAUUUCACAGUAUUCAGUUGCAGUUACUUUAUUGUUCUUAGCAAUUAGAUUAUUGCAGUUAGAAUGUAUAUUGUUGUCCUGGUUACUUUUAUUUCAUUUUGCAUUAAUUCAUAUAAAUAUUCUCAUCCUCCCAUUUAAUAUUUCUAAACAUACAUAAUAGUGUUCCAUUCCAUCAACAAACCAUAAUUUAUUUAGCCAUUCUUUAGUCAGUGAACACCUACUCUAUUCCCAGUUAUUUGCUACUACAAAAGAUCCUUGCUAUGAAUAUUUUGGUUUUUAAAACUUUUCUUGCCAUUCGGUAAAAAUAACUCUUUGGGGUAUACUUUUAGCAGUUGGAGAGAGGAGACCAUGGUAAAGCACCAGAGAAAUUACUAUUCUUUUGGAAAGUUUGAAGAAAAGGAAAUCAAAAUAGGGUAAGUUGCCAGAGAACAUUCUAUAUUAAUUCUGUGAAAUCUGUGAG